AAGCCCGUGGCAGGUAUUGGAGAGGCUCCCAGUGAUUUCAGUAGGCUUUGAAUGGAGGACUCGGGGACAGAUAUACGAAGUUGAAAAGUGCAAGCAGCAGCGCAGAGAAAUGAAAUGGAGAGCAGCAGGACAGAUCCAAGUGAGGACCAGUGAUGUGUAAGCUUCAAGAGGUGCUGUUUAUGUUUGUGAUGAAGGCCUGCGCUAUUAAGUGCAGCAAACCCACCGUAGUGAACCGGUGGCCCUGACAGAGAGCAGAAGCAGGCUGCAUGCAUCUCCUUGUGAUGGAGCUGGCAGAGAAAAUCGGACACUGGGACAAACAACCAUAAAUCAGGACUGUCCUGAUUAAAUCAGGCAUGGCUGGCAAGAUUCAGAGCCAGCUACAGUUGGGAAGUCUGAAGGAAAGUCAUCGUCUUUCCAGUAAUUCCAGCUCCAGUUUGUUCGGUCUGUCAGGAAAGCUCCUGACAGAUGCGUGAGGUGAUCCUGACACUAAAAUUUUGGUUGUAUUAUUGCACAGUGGCCCUGCUGUUUCAUGCAUUCUCUCGGCUGUUUGUCUGGAGAGAGUCAGGCAAAGGCUUGUUUCUGCAUGGUUUUCUGAACAGAAGGGGAGCAGUACACUACGUAUACGCAAAUCCAUAUCAUGAGCAUUUAUUGUUUACAUAUAAAAAAUUCAAGCAUAAGGCUUUGAGCUGAGCCAGAAGGGUAUCAAACCCUGAGAGUUUCUACUACAACCCUGAAAGGCUGCAGCAAAGGUUAGUGCAGGUUUUCAGGGAAUUUUCUAAUCUGAAUUGCAGCAGUGGGGCAUAUAAGAGUGUUAUUUUCUCCAGUGUUGAGAUGCACAGCUGUGUGGUCUGUGGUCUCCUGCUCCUAUAACUAAAAUGGAGACCAGUAAGGGGUGCAUAACAUUCCAAGAAAGCGUGGUCUUUAUUUCUGACUUAAACUGAGACCCGGCUGUCAUAGACUUUGAGUUCUGAUGGACUCCCUUGCCCUCUUCUAGUAGGGGGUUCAUUCGGCAAUAUUACAAAUUGUCCCCGUCUCAAAAAUCAGGGAGGAUGAACAAACAGAGCAUCUGUUAAUCCAAGAUACUGGUUUGAAAUUUUGCUCCUGCUUGCACUGCUAUAUAUUGGGUAAAUUUCCCCUGAAGCUGAUGGUGAAGCUGCUAUUCUUACAUCUGAACAAAUCAAUUCCUAGCUCUAAAAAUAAGUGAAUUAGAAAAGAGGUAAAGCUGCCAUUUAUAAAAUAAAUGUGUUUAUUUGGUAAACAUUGUAUCCUGUAUAUAAACUUCAUCAAUAUUAGAUCUACCAAAAUUCUUCUUAAUCUCGUUAGGGAAAAGGCAAAAGGAUUUUGCAUACUUUUACUAAGUCAGGAGACCUUUUUUUUUCUCUUGGUCAGAAUCAUGGCAAAUUAUUCAUUAUCAGAAUCAAUGACAAAAGGCAAAAUACGUCUGUUCCAAACACACCCCUAGAACUUCCACUUUCUUGAUUUGGGAUUGUUUUAAAGCAAUUGUUCCCAAGCCCAGCUAUAUGGUAUGCAUUCAGUAGCUCUCCAAAGCACUGUCAGGACACUGAUAGGCAUUUCUGGAUUGCCUGAAAUAGAUGGGCCACACGGAUCACUCGUGUAAUUCCAUUAACGCCAGAGGAGUUGCAUCUUGCACACGUGCCACCUGGUGAGCUUAUGGGUACCUCCGCAGGAGAAAUAGGGUUUCAUGCCUAAUUUUUAUGGCCACCACAGAUUAUUUGCUAUGAUCUUCUGGCAUUAAUGCGCAGCAGGAUGUCAGCGAGCACUCAAUACAGUUUCCAGCCACACACUAGGAAUUACUGGGCUAAUCGAGCAUCUUUUUUAGUGAAUCCCAUAGACCAAAGGGUUUAUCUUCCCCUCCAAGGAAAUAUACAGCUGUCACAAGUAAUAUCACUGCAAAAGUUUUCAGUUACGUUGCAAGGUCAAAUUAUCUACAUCUUUCAUUAUCUAGGUGAAUGAUGAAAAGUUGUUGAGGUCUAUCCAAAGUGAGGCCCCAAUUUAGCAAGGUGGUUAAGCAGGUACCUGACUUUGCUGGGACUGUCCGUGUACAUCAGGCCAGCUGUGUGUUUUAGCAAGCUGCUGAAUUAAGAGCUAAAUCUCAAGAAGUCUUCUUGAAUGCUGUCUUGGAAACUAGAUACACGUGUGCAACUGGAAAUCGUAAGUUAUAUUAUUAUGAAAAGGGGGGAGGGGCUUGAAGAGAGAAAAAAAUGUAUGGAAGAGCAGGAGCAAGUGCCCUUCUGUAGUGUACCAUGUAUUUUGCAUGCAUGCAUUGUAUUUGUGUAUAUUUUAAAGACACCUUUAGAAAGUACAUUACAUGAAACCAUCGGUCAUUCUUUACACUGGAUUUUUAUUUCAUAACUCUACUAUUGUAUUAGCAAAAACCCCAUAAUCUAAAAGUACCGGCACUGCUGCAAGUUCCAAACAGUUCUUAUUUCGGGAUCCUGGCAUGUGCAUGUAAAACAUUUAAAUACUUAUUGGUGGAUAAGAAAAUCAAUUUACUUGUAAGGUGACUAAGUAACAACAUGUAUUAGAAUUGAUGUUACAAUUAGGAAAAAAAGAAAUAAAUU